GUAAUUUGGAUCAGCUGUUGGUACAAGUUGUGCUCUUUUAUCUGUACAUUCGAGCUUGGUUGAAAUAUAAGUACUUGCUUUUUGUUGUCAUUGUUCAUCUUCAUCUCCAUUGUCAUGUCACUGCUUCUACCAAUUUGCAGCUACGAACUGCCCACGUUGAACAAUUGUGAUGAAACGUCCUCCCCCCUCGAAAUCCAGAGGGUGGAAUUUGAAAGUGAGGACGUGCAUGGCCCGGAAUUGUGUCCUCAUUUCUUUUGGAAUACAUUUUUGCUUAAAAACCGGCCUUGUCUUGUCAAAGGACCAGCAAGAGUCAUGAAGGAGUGGCCAGCAAUGCGAAAUUGGGUCACUUCCUCUGGGGAAAUCAAUUUUGAAUACCUCAUAGACGCUUAUCGAGAUGUGCAAGUGCCAGUCACCGAGAUCACGAAGGACAUUUCGAUGGAAUAUGGGGGAAUGAACUGCACCACAAUGUCAUUUCAGAACUAUGUUCAAUAUUUCUUAAAAUACAGAGAAAGCGAUUACUCGGCAUCAAUGCCGUGCCUUUAUCUCAAGGACUGGCACAUUCUAGUGAAUCAUGGCAAUGAUGAAACUGGUACUCGAACGCCAGAAAAACCAUAUGAGACACUCCCCAUUUUUGCCUCUGACUGGCUUAAUGAAACGUCUAGUAAAGAUGAUGAUUAUCGUUUUGUCUAUUUGGGUCCAAAGGGAUCCUGGACCCCACUCCACGCCGACGUGUACGGCUCAUUCAGUUGGUCAGUUAAUAUAGCUGGACAAAAGAAAUGGCAUUUAUACCCACCAGGAAAUGAACGCCGAUUUCAGAUGAGCAACCGUCAAUCUCAUCCCCAAUACAAUUCUGAAAAUGCAGGCAUUGAAGGUCAAGACUUUAUUGAAGUAGUUCAACAAGCGGGAGAGACUAUUUUCGUCCCCUCGGGUUGGUUUCAUGUUGUUUGGAACGUUUCGGACGUGAUUUCUAUAAACCAUAACUGGUUUAAUGGAGCCAACAUUUGUUACAUUUGGCAUCAACUGCAGAAUGCACUAGCAGAGGUCAAGCAAGAGAUUGCAGAAUGGACGAGUCUGAAGGACUGUGCAGAGGGGUUUGAAAUCAACGAUCAAAAGCAGUGCCAACUCAUCUUGAAAGCAAAUCAUGGGAUGAAUUACAGUUCUUUUUGUGACCUCAUUCUCAAUAUUUGGGAGAAACGUAUGGACAGACUGAAAGACUUUGACGACCGGCCGGAGGAGGAGGAGAGGGUCUUGUUGGACCUGGCCAUUUUGAGACAUCUCAUCAACCAUCAUUUGCUCAACGACGUGGAUCUCGCCUCCGAAUAUAAACAGAAGUUUAAUUUUGCAAUUUCACAACAACUACCACGCAAGAUUAUUUGACACUUUAUCAAUCUAUAAGGUUACGACAAAUGCCCGAGUUACAAAUGAAUUUUCAUUUUUAAAUUGUCGUGGGUUACAGUUUAUUUUUUUAAUAUUUUGGCUGGAGAAUUGGUUUUUCGUCCAUGGGAGAAAAACCAAUUUUAAAAUAAUUUUAAAAAUGAAUAUUUUAUUUAUAACUCGACCAUUUGUCGCAACCGUUAAGGGUAACUAGGCACUAAAUGUCAAGCAAUCGUGACUACCACGAGAAUAGAUUUUGAUUUUGUUGGUUGGUUCUCCUGCCAACGCAUUUUAUGAUAGUGGCGAAAUUGUGUCUCGAGCUGUAAUUGGUUGAUUACUUUUUGUAACAACGUUUCUCAUUGGUUAAAUUUUCCUGGCGACCUUUUCGCCGAGAGUAUAAAAGGUCAGACUCAAAAUGCGAGCCCUUCAGUAGCUUCCAGGAAUUGCAGCCAUCAUCAUCGUCCUUCUCUCUCCUCUUCCACCUUCCAAAUUCUUGUUCUCAACUCCCAACCUCUUCCCAAAUUUCCAGUCGACAUGUCCUGCUGUGGUGGAUCAUCUGGUGGCCGAGGUCAGAACUGUUGCAAUUUGUACAGCUUAAUGCAAGACCCGUGUUAUCAAAAGUUGUGUUGCAACCAAAGGCGGCAGGUGUGCUAUACCCCAUUUAUUCCGAGCUACGAACGGUGUGAAGAGGAGGUUAAAAUGGGAAAGCUGCUUGGUUUUGAUUAUCAAAGAAAGUGGUUCUGUGAACGUAACGUAUAUUUAUGCAAGGUCUAUGGACAAUGCGGAGGUAACGCCCGUUCAUCCUGUGGUACGCCGCCCUGUGCCCCCCGCGUCCCCAGUGUUGUGGAUCACCAUGUUCCAUCAGUCCGUGUUGUCCUGCACCCAGGCUGAGCUUGUGUCAACCAGAUCCAUGUGGCCCAUGUUGUGCACCCAUGCCACCUUGUCCUCCUCGGUGUCCACCCAAUCCAGUGUUCCCAAAAGUAAUCCUCAAUAUCCUCAUCACCAUUAUCUUUUCCCCUCAGAAUUAUCUCACAGGCGUCAAUUGCAUGGUAGGUGUGUUGUCCCCCGCCUUGCUGCCCAGAUCCUUGCAUCAAGCCCAGUCGAAAGUGCUUCAUCCCCCCUCCGUGCUGUCCCAAACCAUGUUGCAAGAAGAUGGCCUUGGUCGUGAGCUCUCCCAUCUGCCCUCCAAAAUGUUGUCCACCGCUACCAUGUUGUGAACCACAAAAUUGUCCCGAUCCCUGUGCCAGAGGUCAAUCUUCAUGUUGUGGCCCUUGCUGUCCAUCACCAGCCAUGAUUGGUACAACAUUCUCAUCAUCACAAUUCAUACAUUCUUGAUCAUUAAAAUGGCUUGUUCAUAACUUGCUUACAUUCAUAUUAUUGGUAACUAAAUCCUGGGAUUUUGUUAGUUCGGCCUCUUCGAAACAACUGCUGUCCUCCUCCACCCAGAAUCCCAAACAAUCAGCAGUGCCCGAUCCCUUGGUAAAAGCGAUUCAUCGCAUAUAUAUUGAAUCCAUUCAUUUCCAUACGUCACGGUCAGCAUGGCUCUCAUACAACUGUAUUUCUGUGCGUAGUUGCAAUCCUCUCCCACCUUGCUGCGUAAUAGUGAAGCCGUGUCAGCCCAGGUGCCCCCCUUCACCUUGUUGUCCACCACCCACGCUUUGUGCUCCCGCAUGUCCUCAACCUGACCCAAGGUCUGCUCCUCUCCUCCUUCCUAAUUCCAUUGAUCAACGCAUCUCCCAAAGGGUCACCUUCAUUAACCUCUCUGCUGCUUUCUCUGUUAGGUGUUGCCCAAAGCCCAUGGUGGUGAGCUUCAAGUGUCCGACUUCCGUUAGUCCCAUGGCACCGCGAGAGGACUGUCCUCAGCAGGUCUCGUGGCCAUCCCCUCCCAAAAUCGACAUGUGCUGUUCCAGUAACUGUCCUCCCAAGGAGCGCGACAUGUGUUUCAUGACGGUGCGACCAAUGCCACCAUCUUGCUGCCCACCCAAAGGCAAUUGCGGAGGAAUAUCGGGUGGUAACGGUUCUCGCCAAUGUUGUAAACCAAGAUGGAAUGGCAGUCCGAUUACCAAGUGUGCAUCUCAAUCUGUCGACUUUUCCGUCCCCCCACUCGCAUCUCUCUCGCAAAGAUACAACUGUUGGGUGUGUAGUGUCCCCCCAGCCACUGACAGCAAUUUGUGCCCCUCUCGAUUUUCAUCGCGUGUAGAGAAUUCUGCUUGUCAAAUGGUGGCCGUGAUGAGUCCGAUUGAGUCGGCUGGAGAUUGUUGCGUCUAAUCAACUGAGGUUUCAUCAAUUGCUGGCAAUUUGUAUGCAUAUUUGUGUCUAUAAUCAUGCAUUUAUUUGUAACCAUCUCUUCCAAGGUGGUCGUUGCUGCUAGUUCUGUAACUGACCAGUGACGAGACGAUAGGAUGUGAUGCGAUAUGGACCCACACCCCACGCAGGACAUCAAAAUUACCGGUAUUGAAGUAAUAUAAAUAUCCCCAGUUUACUCUAAUGCUAUUCCCAUUUCUCUUGCUUAUCUCGAUGUAAAUUUUCCCUUCAAAUUUCAAUUGUGCUAAAAUUCAAUCAUGCUACAAAUUUAUUUUCGACAAAAUAAAUAUAAAUCACCAUACAAUUCAGUA